UGCGCGAAAUAAACACCGACAAGGAAGACACACGCACAAGCGCCUGUGCGUGUGUCUUCCUUGUCCGUGUUUUUUUCGCGCA
rnacentral:pre_miRNA from 1 species